UACGUAGGGGGCAGGCGUUGUCCGGAAUCAUUGGGCGUAAAGAGCGUGUAGGCGGCCCGGUAAGUCCGCUGUGAAAGUCGAGGGCUCAACCCUCGAAUGCCGGCGGAUACUGUCGGGCUAGAGUCCGGAAGAGGCGAGUGGAAUUCCUGGUGUAGCGGUGAAAUGCGCAGAUAUCAGGAGGAACACCUACGGCGAAGGCAGCUCGCUGGGACGGUACUGACGCUGAGACGCGAAAGCGUGGGGAGCAAACAGG
rnacentral:rRNA from 1 species